GGUUCACAUUGGGGGAGCUGGAUCCCACAGCCCUGGGUGACCCCAUCCCCAGCAUCCUGCAUUGGGAAGCUGGAUCCCACAGCCCUGGGGGAACCCCACUCUCAGGUUACACAUUGGCGUGCUGGAUCCCACAGCCCCAGGAGACCCCAUCCCCAGAACCCUGCAUUGGGGGCUGGAUCCCACAUCCCCGUGGGACCCCAUCCCCAGGGCCCCACAGUGGGGUGUUGGAUCCCACAGCCUUGGAGGACCCCAUCCCCAGCAUUUUGGGGAGACAUGGUUUUCUAUGCUUGGAAACUCUCCCAAGCCUGCAAAGACUUAUUUACCUACUUAAGAUUAUUCACGAGUAGUCCCAUUGACUUCAGUGUGACUACUCAUGUUAAAAAUUAAACAUGUGUAAAUCUGAUAUUGGCACUACGGUCUCUUUAAUUGAAAUCAGGGUCUUCAAGAUGGAAUGUAAUCUGCAGGUGAAGUCAAUGAGUCACUAGACCAAGCUACCCUCUCUCAUUGGUGUCUGUAGAUGUAUUUAGUCUCUGGAGUUUUAUUAUAAAUAGUACAAUUGCAUAGGUAGUUUGGUAGUGGUACUUGUCCUACUUUUACUUUACAGUGGCUAUAGGCCUUUCAGGUAAGGAGUGGUAGUUGUGCACAAUGUCCUAUUUGCAAUUAUUUGAUGGUUUUUAUAUGUGGUAGCUGAGUGUCUUCCCAGAGUGCAUUCAGUAAUGUGACUAGUAUUUGUUAUCUCAUUAAAUACUACUUUUUUUUUAAUAAUUCAUCCCACAGAUUAAGGUAUUAACUAGAUAUUGAAAUAUCUAAAAAUACUAAAUUAAGAGCUAAAUUACUUGGUUUAAGCUUGUCUUGCUUCUAGGGAGUGUUCUUCUCUCCCAGCUGUACAGCCUGCACUCUGAGAAGGAUAGAGAUGUUUUGAGCUAGUCUGUCUGUAUGCAACAAGCUUGUAAAUUCCAUUCUUCCUUUUUGUGUUGUCUGCCUUAAUAGCAGAGAUGCAGCUUUCUUCAGUUCCCUUUCUAAGGAAGAAGAUAGACUAUGCCAGGGGAGAUCCUCUGUGUCUCCGGCUCUACAGUAGCAAGAGAAAGGAGGGUUACUCUACCUACAUAUAUAAAGUCCUAAAGCAAACUCAUCAAGUCUCAGGGGUUUCCUGCUGGAUUGCUGAUGUCAUAAAUUCUCUGGAUAAACCACAGUUGUUUGGGAAAGUUGCAUUAGAAGCUGCCAGGUUGUCUCUCUACAACAAGAGAAGCCUCAUUACCUGCAGGGAGGUCCAUGCUGCAAUGAAGUUAGUGCUUCUGCAUGAGCU
rnacentral:lncRNA from 1 species